UAGAAACAGAAGCAGAAAAGCUGGGAGCUCCAAAGUUCACAUCCCCUCUUGUGGGACUUCGCAUUAGUAUGUGAAGCUGUUGGGUAAUAGGAACCCCAGCCUUUGUCGCUUGGAUGUAUCCUGGCAACCUGUCAACAAAAGGGACAAGGCUAAGUUUUCUAGCAACCAAUCGGGAAAAUCCAAAACAGGGAGCAAAGGUAUCAGAAACAGACAAGGAAAUAGGUUCCCAUUCCAGAAUCCUACUCCAGCAGCAACUACUGUUACCAGUUUCUUGUGUGUCCUUCCAGAAUAUUCAUGCAUUUUUGAAAUCAUUUUGAAUAUUGAAUAUUGCCUUCUGACCUUCAGGCUGGUGCCCUUCUGAUCCUUCUUUGUGGCUACCAUAACUUCUAUUGCUCAAGAUGAGACAUGACAAAACAGAUGACACAUUUGUGCUGUUGGAGGAAAACUCAGUGACUCAGAUAGACACAAAUUGUUCCAUGCACCUUUCAUCCUCAUUACCAGGUAUCUUUGCCAAGGUCAAGUGGUGACAUUCUGAUUUAUCACCAAACUGAAUGGAUGUAACUCACAUUUGAAGAGAAUGUGAAAUUCAAAUACCAAAAAGAAAUAAAAUAUGUUUACCUAAGGUU